GACGAACGCUGGCGGCGUGCUUAACACAUGCAAGUCGAACGGAAAGGCCCUGCUUUUGUGGGGUGCUCGAGUGGCGAACGGGUGAGUAACACGUGAGUAACCUGCCCUUGACUUUGGGAUAACUUCAGGAAACUGGGGCUAAUACCGGAUAGGAGCUCCUGCUGCAUGGUGGGGGUUGGAAAGUUUCGGCGGUUGGGGAUGGACUCGCGGCUUAUCAGCUUGUUGGUGGGGUAGUGGCUUUCCAAGGCUUUGACGGGUAGCCGGCCUGAGAGGGUGACCGGCCACAUUGGGACUGAGAUACGGCCCAGACUCGUACGGGAGGCAGCAGUGGGGAAUAUUGCACAAUGGGCGGAAGCCUGAUGCAGCAACGCCGCGUGCGGGAUGACGGCCUUCGGGUUGUAAACCGCUUUCGCCUGUGACGAAGCGUGAGUGACGGUAAUGGGUAAAGAAGCACCGGCUAACUACGUG
rnacentral:rRNA from 1 species